rnacentral:lncRNA from 1 species
GGCCUACGCUUUUCGAGUGUAGCCUAUCUUAUCUGAAGAGCGGCGGAGAAAAGGAUACCCGCAGGGCUGGCUCGGGGGAAGAGAUUGAUACUGGUCUUUCGCUUCGGAUCUGUCUAGAGUGUGAUGUGGCCCUCUUCUCCAAUCGACUACCUCAGUAAGUUAGACUAAUACCAGAUCUGGUAAAUCUGAUCCCCGCGGAAGCAUGUUUGCUUGAUCUCUAUUUGACAUCUACAAGGCACUAAAGCUUCAACCAUAGCCGAUCACUAGAUUCAGAACUACAGCCGUAAAGGAUUGAGCAGCACCAUUGUAGGAAUAGCUCGCUUUAAUUGGCGAAGGUUCGUAUACAACUAGCAAAUUCUACUUCUACUUAAUGUAAUGCCCAUGCUGGACUAUUUGCUUUGCCGAGGAUAUCGAUAGGAUUUCUGAUCGGAUAGGAAAGGUAGCUUGUCUCGCCCGGGCCUGGUCCCCAAUGAAUCCGAAGAUCUUAGCCGAGUUCUAUUCUAGGCUCGAGACAGACAACUCUUUCUUAUUGCUGGGUAGGGACUAGGGCUGCCAGGGUUUGAGCUAUUUCAGGAAGGGCCAUGCCUGUUUCAGAAGGCGAUAAAGUUUACGCCGAUCCAUCUUCGAAUGAAGAAUUUAAACAAACGGGAUGAGGAAUACGCCUAGCGAAUGAAGGACAAAACCAGGAAAGGAACCUACCCAACUCGAUACGAUUGAAGCACACUUCUUUUUUUUUUUUAAGUUGAGCCAGACUCAAUUGCUUCUGUUCCUUCUGGGGCUGGCUUGGCUUCUUGAGUUUCCUAAAAGGCCUUCCUCGGAUGCGAUAGAGAUAGAUCGCUUUUCUUUUUAAUAAUUCUUUCCCCGCAAGCUCAACAGCGGAACCGGACCCUGGCCUCAAUGGAUCCGAAUCUGGCCUGCCCGAAGGAAUGGACUGUACGAAUUGGUCACUUGGCUGAGACUACCAUAUUUGGAAACCUGGCCUAGAUUAGAAGGAUGCGAACAAGGCAUAGUUCCGGCACUUUCUCUACUCCAAUACCUGCUUCUUCGCCUGCCCAAAACUAAUAGCUCUGUUGGAACGAGUGCUGGGAUUCAUCUUCCUCAUCUUCAUUCAUCUACCUCGCGCCGGAGACCUUCACAAGCUCACUAGUAUAGAUCAGAUCUAUCUGGCCAAAGGAUAAACUAGUAGCUAUAUGAAGACCUGCACCCGCCCCUGCUCUGAAAUGUUUCCCGAGGAACUGCUUCCAGUAUCGAUAGAAGCUCGAGUGUUCACAUGCAUACCACUACUAUCCAGCAUCAACUGGACCUGCACCUAAAGAGAAAGAGAGGCGCAGAAUCACUCAACUAGACUCACUCCCCAGAAAGCAAGGAAGCUCAAAACAACCCGCACAAGAAUGCUUCCUACACUUCCAAUUCGAUGACAGUCUAGUCCUGGGAGAAGGCAAGGCAUCUCAUCGAUUCGCAGCACUUUCAAAUGCUGGUCCGCUUGACAUAUAGCACGAAAAGGAAAUCCAUAGUGAAGCCAUAUCUUCCGUGUGCGUUCUAGUAUGGGUGACUCUUAGGAAAAGUAACAAGUGAAAGAAGCCCGCUAACCCACUCUUCUUUCCCCCUACCUACCCUUAGAAGGAAAGUAGGGGCCUCGGUUUCCUAUGAGAAACCUACACCAGGAAAGAUAUUUGCCCCACCCCAUUUUGAUUAGGUACGACUUUAUAGUUUAUUACUCAACUCCCGAAAAAUGGGGCGGAGUGCCUCACAGGCCGCCGGGUCCCUCAAAUCCUCCCUUAGUUGCAAAAGGUUUUCAAGAGAAUGCUCCUUUCCUUGGCUUCGCAAAAUAGUGGAAAAAAGCUUUUCCCGCUUGUUAUCCUCGCGAUCAGAUUCUUUUUGUAAAAUCAUCAAGGGCAUUCUUUGCCUAAAAUGUUCACAACACAUACUAUAAAAACGGUGGUUUUCCUCUAUAAUUUGAGACUCAAUGCCUCGCUUUUUCUCCUUGGUUUCUAUUCCUGAAAUAAGAUCCCCCCACUCUUGGGCUUUUCGUUUUUUUCGGCAAUCCUCCAACUUUUGAUCCAUAUCCUCUACAUAUGGAUGUGGAUGCCUUUUUAAGGAACCCUCCCCCCGAGUCGGAUUUGUCUCAGGAAGUGGGGCCGGUUCCACCGCCACCGGUGGCGUGUUGUCAUGGGGAUGAUCACCCCCUUCUGGCGAAGGGCCAGUGGUUGGGCUCAACCGUUCGCCCUCCGUAGGGCUGAGUGGCGGAUCUAUAAAAUCUGGGGCGGACCGAACCUCCAUUUCGAAUUCAAAAUCUAAAGGAGCCUUUCCUUUGCGCCCCUCUUGGGUGGAUCCCUCCCCCGCUUCCAUUAGAAGCGGUUUUUGCCCCCCCACCUUUGAAGGCAGUUUAUCGGAAGAACCCCAACUUUCUCCUUGGGUCAUCCCCAGAGUAGCACUCUGCUCCCAUAGGAGCUGGAAUAGAAAACUGAGCCACAUUACGAGUGCGCCAAUGAGAGCCUUCCGGAGCGCCAGAAAGAGUUCCGCGAGAUCAAAAAAGCAAAAAUACCAUUGCAACCAACACGAGGCAGGAAGCAGAAGCAUCAAAAAAAAUUUACGAUUCAUGACAAUCCAAUUUUUGAAGCGAAAAAACUUCUUCUUCCACUUAGGAGAGGCGGCAGAGUAGGUGCGAAUACCCAGAAGGGUACUCGCUCCUCGUGCUCCCGCUCUCGGCCCGUUGAUUGCUGUUCUUUUUUGCCUCACAGUUUUCGUGAUCGAAUUACGAAAUAGAUAUACGAGCAGCCGUAAAGGAUCAUUCGCUGGGAUGGUAAAAGUGAAUCUUUUAUGGGACGGGAUCGUGGAAUCCACUAAGUAUGCAAUCGGUAUUUGUGAUCGAUCAGCUUCCAGUAUGACCGAUGACUUUCUAUCUGGAUGAAGAAUAACCACACAAUCAGGUUGUCGGUUCAACCCAAAAUAGAUUUUAUUGUUUCUUGAACGGAAUUUCUUAGGAUUAGCAUAAGAAUUGGUAAAAAAAGCCCCGAUCUUCCAUUGAGAAUCAUUGAUACAGCUCCACAUUUUUGCCAUUAUCGAAUAUAUAAAUAAAUUCUUCGUCUUUAAAAAGAAGGAACGGCUUUUUUGACAAAUGAGAUAUCCUACAAAAUCAAGAGCGUUUCGUAAACAAAUCAGUGUCUUGUCUGAAUCGAGAAUAGCAAUUCCAUUUCUGAAACAACGGAUAUAUACUUUUAAAUGGUGAGCAGCUACCCGACGGCCGAGAUGUGCAUUCGUACAAAGUAAUUUAGUACAGACAGUUGAAAGGAUUGUCAUUUCUGGUUUUCGUUUCCGGAGAUACAGGUGGUAAGUUAGAAAUGAAAAUAGGUUAGCAGCUGAUCUUCUAACCAAAAAGAGUAAACAUCAAAGAAAGGUGAUGACAUAACCAGUAGUUCGAAAGCGCGAAAGUGGGAAGAACAAAGAUAGAAAGGUUUCGCAGGUUCAGAUUUGGAUGCACUGAACACUUUUAAAGAUCUUGUUUUAGCGGAUCCGCUAUUCCCGCUCCACUCUCUCAGAAACCAAGUCAAUUUAGACAGACGCCUCAUGAUGUCCCGUUACCAUUAGGGCCAUCGAUUCCAACAGAGGAUAAGCGCGUUAGGCGCUGGACACAUGCUCUAGUCUAGUUACUCACUGACCGAUACUUUCUUUACUGCCGCUACUCGCUCACCUCCAACUAUCUAUCCAUCCACCGGCAUCCAAUGGACUUGAAGCCGAUCUUAAGCUACGGGCCUGGGUUGGAGCGACUUCUGCAUUUCCAUUUUACCGUGUUUUUUGUCCUCAAGCAGAUUUUCUUAGUGAAAUGGGAAUCCGGAUUUGGACUUCUUCCGUUUCCAGGUUGGCUUUCUUUCUAGCUAUAAGUUGAGGGAAAAGCUGCCUGCUCUUGAUCGAUCUCAUUCUCUUCUCUGUCUCUGGAUUGCCGAGUUCGAGGAAAGGCGUAUUCGUUCGAGUCAAGCUACACAAACGGAAUGCUGCUACUGCUAUUGGUCGUAUCGGUAUCGAAUUCUCUGCAGUGGAGGAAAUAGCCGAAGAAGAAGAACUCGCAGAUGGGAUGCGAAGUGAGGUGAAUCUAGUGGCACAGGUUGACUUGUAUGAUAUGAAUCAGUAGUCAGGAUUGGUACGAAACCAGGAUCAUACGCAGUAGAUCAUUUCUGUUGGGAUCCGUCGUGUCGUGGUGAAGUAAGUGUGCCAGCUCGUGAAAUGAACAGUCUCGAGUGUGUAUCAGUUUCCCGGUUGCAGGCUGGAUCGGAGAAAAAAACAAGAUUCACUGAAUUAUGAUACGCAAAUAGUCUUUAGUGCAGGAAUGCAGGUAGUACUUUUUUUCCAGCUAAGUGAGCAGCACUUGUUCUUCUCUUCGGACUCCGAGGCGGACUUCCGUACUUGAUUUUUCUAAAGCUAGGCCAUCUUCUGCUGCUUCAUUUAGGAAACCCUACCUAAACCCUUCAAGCGGCGGAAUAUGGGAUAGGUAAGCUAUGAUUCAAGAAACCUGCCAGUCCUGAAGCAAGGUAACUCAUCUAGAUCCAGAUCUGGUUCAUCACUGGCUAUAUUCUAACCGGCAUGGCAUCCUUUGUGGAUCGAAACGGAAACUGAUCACUGGUUCUAUUCGAAAUCAUAUACCCCUGCUGAGCCUGCCGCCUUACCCAAGACCAAGAAAGAGAUCCGGAACAUGAGAAUAACCGGCACUUUCCCGGAGCAUGCCUGCCUGCAAAUCGAAUCCUAUCCUAUGAAACAAGCUUCUACUAUUCAAAUCAAAUCAAACACAGAAACCUCAGCCGGAGAUGGCGAGUCAAGUAUUGCACGCCGGUUGGAAGUCAAGCUAUCUGGAAUGCGGAGACCCCACCCGUAGCUGGUUCUAGAUCCGGAUAAUCAAUCACAAGAUCAUGCGGAGAAUUUAACAGAACAGCUGGCAUGCGCACUCAACUACUUACAAAUGCCCGUGUUUUUCGUCAUCACUAGGAUGGCAAACCAACCAGAAAAUGGAUUUGAACCAGUGCAGCUCGCCAUGGGACAAAAGUACGCAACCCAAUGGCACCCUCGAAACGAGUACGAAGAUAAGAAAACUUGCUCUCGCCAAGUGGCAAAAGAAGGCCAGUUACCAUUCCAUUACCAGAUCUAUGCCCAGCCCUGGCCCUGAAACCAGACGACAAGAGCUUGACUCCGUUCUUCGUGUACCCUUCCUUCUGUUCUUCGUGUAGCUGCACUCCACUCACAGUUGGUUGACAAUUCGGAUUUUAUCACUCGAUCCAGUGAAUUGAGACUUAUCCGACAUGGGGAAAUGAGAGGUCGAAAGCGAGAAAGUCGAUGAUAACCCGAUUCCCUUCGAAACUCUAAUGCUGUUACUGGAACUUCUAGUACUAGAAGUGAGCGUUAAACCUUUCCUGGCGAGUCAAUACAGCUCAGCUAAAAUAGCAAGGAACAUGGCGGGCACCAAUACCAUGCAAAUUAGACACCAGAAGUAGUGGAGAAGGAACCAUGCGGAAGUGGGAAUAGGCCCACCCGAGAGAGAUAUGAACAAUGCCAUUCCAGCGCCGAACUGACCUGGCAAGACAAGGCUCAAGUGCAAACUUCCGCUUCCGUUUCUUUCAUAGAGAUGGAAAAGUGGACUGGCACUAUUUCCUGGCCUGGCAGCGGGUGGAUUCUAGAAAUAUCUAGAUAAGCAUUCGAAAAUGGCCCUUCUUUACUUUACUUUAAACAAGCCUCCGUAGAAAUCUUUCCAUUCUCCCUAGUCUAGGACCCGGGAUGAGGACUCGUAUUCCUAUUUCUUUCUUUGGAUUUGAUCGAGGGCUCAAGUGGCAGCGCAGAUGUUGUUGACAUUGGAGAGACCUCGUAUGCAAUUUAUUCUCUGCUCUGCGAGAUUUUGGUAGCAUUUUUGGGUACUGUACUUACAUCAAUAAAGUGCGCUCACUUCUUUGCACUUUGACUGACAGGUACACCAUGGUUUUGGCUGACAAUGUGGAUGGCGGAGACGAUCUUGAUCUUAUUGUUACUACUAUGAACGGCAACGUCUUUAGCUUUUCCACUCCCUCACCACACCAUCCACUCAAGGUAGGCAAUGCGUUUUUGUAGUCAUGUCUUCAUUUUGUUUCACAGUAUUUAAACUUAAGUCGGAUAGAUCUUUUGGUGAACCCAUUGCAACUUCUGCUUAAAGCUGGCUUGAUACUUCAGACUUACAUAUCUCCUUUGAUCUUUUUAUUCUUUUGAUGUUUAAACAUAGAGGUGAGCAUGAAAACGAGAUAACCAUAUCAUUCCAAUUUGAUGGUAGGAAUGGAGAUCAUCAAACCAAGGAAGGAAUAAUGCUGCAUAUCGGUACAACCGUGAAGGUUUUUAUGUUAAGCAUGAUUCCAGGACCUUCCGUGACGAAGAGGGCAAGCAUUUCUGGGUAGAGUUUGAGAUUGUUGACAAGUACAGGCUUCCCUAUGGGAAUCAAGCUCCUUAUAAUGUGACGGUAUAUUCUGUCAUCCUAAAUUUUAGCCUGAUGGAAAAUAUUUUUACUAACUUCCAACUACCUUUGUUUUACUGUUGGAUUUCAGGUAACUUUACUUGUCCCUGGGAAUUACCAGGGAGAUAGGCGCAUUGUGGUCAGUGAGAUCUAUCAUCAACCAGGAAAGCAACGGAUGAAGCUUCCCACUAUUCGUGUUAGAACGACAGGAACUGUGCUCGUGGAGAUGGUUGAAAAAAAUGGGUUUUAUUUAUCCGAAAAGUUUUCACUUACAAGAGCCCACCGCUUUAGAAGUGCUUUCCUCUCUCUUUCUUUCGUACAAGUAGAUCGUUUCUGUUGGGAUGAGAUCUGUAGUCUAAGAAUCGGUUCAUAGGAAAGCACGCCUUGCAGUUGGCAUCGGUAGAAGAUUUCCGUCUUGUCCCUCGGAGUGGAGCUAGACUCACUUCCUUUGUUCGUAACAUUAUACGUUACUCACUGAGGAAGAAGGGAGUAAAGUAUCUACACUCGUAUCGGAUCUGGAGAUCUGCCCCGGGAUGGAAAGGUAUCGAUCGACCAAGAACUUGUCGAAUUUCUUUGACCUCGGAGCCCGUACAAGCUCUUCUUCCACAACCAUAUGUGACCUCCCCGAGUUUCGAACCCCUCGCCCUCUAAAUGUGGAUCUCCUCCUCCUCGUUGUUGCCGUGGAGAAAGACCGUAUUCACGUCUAGUUGAAAUAGAUGCAAGUCCUCGGCCGCUACUAUACUAUACUAUACUAUACUAUGGUAAUAUAAAUUAGUCUCUCUAUCCUUUACCAAAGCAUGGUGCGUCUCUCCCCAUCCCCAAGUGUUCCUAUAGAAAAUCCCUCCCGCCCCCAUGGGGGGGAUUUCCUAUGGGAGUGGGGAUCUAUCUCUUUAGCUCACCUCACACUGAAUUCCAGGGAAAGAUUGGACAUCCUCGGAUUACUAAGAUGAAUGAACUCUACUCUCGUAUCGUCUCUACUCGGAUCUAUCUGGAGAAUGGCAUGGCCUGUACAGUUGCGAAAAAGCCCACAUCUGUCCCGAAGGGUCAUUAUUGACCAGGAAUUCCGAAUAAAGAGAUUAUUAUUCCCAUGGCGACACUAAUUAGUUUAGUCCAAUGAAAGAAUGCUAUUAUCCAGGUGACGACACCGCUCUAUUGGCGAUACGUUCUUCUUUCGAACCAAACCAGUGAACUACAACCUAUGAACUUACCAUUCUGUGGAAAUGAAAUGAAAUACAGCUAACACUUUCUUCUGAUCUUCGGGCAGUCCAAUCUCAUCAAGAGUAGACAAUCAUAUCAACUCCGAUAUUACACACUUAAAAUGCUUCUCCCAAGCCCAAGUCAACCCCAACAAUUCCAAGAAAGCGUAUCUCCUAUCCGGGACAAGCCUUGCUUUGGGAAUAUAGAGGAGUUCACACCCAGUCCAGACUUCACUGUAUCUUUCGUUUUAGGCCAGUCCAAUGAUACGAUACGAGUGCCUAAGGCAUUCCACGGUUCCUACUGGAAGUCAAGUACCCCUCGCUAAUCCAAUGAGGAACUACCGGUUAUAUUCGUCUUUCUAUUCGUCAAUAUGCUCGUAACAUUAGUCGUUACUCGCUCGUUAGUAGUUACUCAUGAAUUAUACGUGACUCGUUCAUUAUACGUUCCUCAUUCAUUAGUCGUGACUCAUUUGUUCCGAAUAUCAAGAAAGCAUUCAUGGCCUAAGGAGCAUAUUCUUUUGACAACGGUUUCCCUCACCUCCUCUGAACAUACACUCUUAUCACGGGCUUCAACAGACGGGAUAUGCUCGAAAUCAUACUUGCUUGCACGGAUACAGACUUGCACUUGAUGGACUAAACUAAUAGGUGAGUUCUCUUCUAAUCUAAAGGAAGAGUAACGAAUUGGGUAUUCUCAAGUAUGGAAACUGCUAGGCUAGGCAAUUCUAAAGUACCUGUCAACGGGCACAUACCUCUUGACGGCUUGGGGAUUCAAACUUAAGUUCCCCAUGGUUUUAACUGAAUGGCGAUUCGUAAGUCCCCUAUUCUCAACUAUGGAAUAUGAGAUGUUUGCAUAUCACGUUUAAAAAACUAUGAAUUUUACUCAGUAAACUCCCCAGGCACUUUGCUAGCAGAUGUUUCAGUACAGCAAGGAACCUGAGAAGAGACCCGAGGAACCCUGUAGGUAGAUAGUUUUCAAGUGCUCUAGUCCUGAACAAAACAACAAGAUGCGCGGUCCCCGAUUGGGAAUAUUGAUAUCAUUGCCUGCAGGUGGGAUCUGUUGCAGUAUUCAAUGAAUAAGUAUCAAUCUCUUCUCUGCGGUUCUGGGGAAGCGGUUGUAUGUCUGGGUCCUGGGCCAAGUAGAUUGAUCGUUUGUUUGAUAUUCCCGCUGGAAUAUUUUCCAAGAAGGAAUCCGGGGAUGUCCAUGAUUCGAGUGAUAUUGGCGCUCCACUUUCAUAUGGGAUCUCUUUCGUAUUGGAUGUGGAUGGGUCUAGAGAAUGGCAUGGCCUGUACUUGUUGUGAGGAAGCCCACCUGUUGCGAAGAAUAGGAUCCAUCCCGUUGCCAAAGAAGAGGUUGCUUGUCAAAGAAGAGGCUGGUAUCGGCUUUCCCUAGUGCUCCCUGGCAAUAUUUCCACAAGAUGCCCGUAUACAGAUUUGAAAGAAUUUCAUGAAUGAGAUCAUUUCUGUUGCGAGGAAUGCCAUUGGCAGUCAACUCUUGACUCGUAUCUUGAGAAUGGACGCUGGCCUAAACCCCUCUUUGGAGUAGGCCUACCUUUCUAAUCUAACAAGUGAAUACUAAAUACUUACUAAACUAAACUAAACAAAGUAGUAGAUUUCUUCCGUCACAGCUCUGCAGCUGUCCCUCACCAAUGUCAAAGAUAGGCCACGGAUUACAUUCAAGGGAUAUCUUGCUAGGAGAAGUCUGUACAAGCUUGUUAGCCAGAUCGAGAUGUGGUUCUGUUGGGAAUCCAAUCUCCUGUCCGAGGAAUAGAAUCUCUUGCGAGGAAUGGCUAGCUCGAUCCAUCUUGUGGAAUACCCCAAGUAUCAUAUCAUAGUCAUAGCAUUGGAGCUCGUAUCGUAUCGGAACACUUGUAUCUCGUAUCAACGGAGUCAAGCAUCUAAUCUUCUACUCUAGAGAUUGGGCCUGUACGAAGAUCUUUCUUUUUGCGGGCUAAAGAUCACUCUUGUCCCUCCAGUGAAGUGGUAGUUUUCUUGCUUUGCUUAUAGAACAGAACUGAGUCUCUUAUGUUCGUAACAUACAUUAAGUGUUACUCACUCCAUUGGCAUCUACAAGUGGUGCUUACGAGAGAGGCCUGCCUAGACCGAGAUAGGAAUCAUCAGUGGAUACGAGCGAGAAGAAAGAAAUCUAUCUGUCCAGCUUUGGCAGUAGGGAAUCAUACCAAUUCGUCUUUAUACUCAUUCGUUAUACGUGAUUCGUUCAACACAGUCUAGUCGAUCUGUCUUGUCCCUCGCAACUUGACAGUGGAAACAGAAGCAUGAGUGAAUCCGUACUGUACUAUACUAUACUAUACUAUUCGAACACAUCUCUUCACCCAGUGCCAUGCCACAGUGAGUGGAGCUAAGGAUGAAUGCAUGGGAUCCGUGUUCUAAGUGUUGUCUUAAGUGUUCUAAGUUCAGUUGUAUCUUUUUCUUGUAAGUUUCCGAAUAUUCUAAAAAAUAUUGGAAUGCCUCUGUCUUGUCCUUUGAGAAGUGAGUGGAGGGUAGGAUCCCGCCUUCUUAUAUUCGUCACGUUACAACUCUUAUCCUUCGAUUUCGCAACGAAGGAACUCUGGCUUGGUAUGGUAGGAGGAUGGAUAUGCUUUGUAGCAGAAUCAGAUGCUGGCUUUAUAUUCUCUUUUCUAUUCUUUUCAAGCGAGAAACGACUAAUUCAUGAGGAACUCCCGGUUAUAUUCUAUUCAUUAUACUUGCCUUGGUUGUUCCGAAUCUAGGGACGAGCAGGGAUUAGUAUAGUAUAGAAGUGACUCAUGAAUUACAACUCUUAUCCUUGAUUAUUAUAUUAUAGUGUGGAAGACGAAGAUCUUAAAGAAGAAAAGAUGGAGUGCCAUGCCACUAAAAGAAACCUAGGUGGGGAAACCGGUUAUAUUCGUAACAACUCAUUGGCUUUUUCAGAGAGAAGUAGCCGCUCCGUCGUCUAUUCUAUAUAGUGCUGCAAGCUGAGAACAAAGUAGCUCUCGCCUAGCAAACUAGAUUCGUAACAUUGCCUACGAACUCAUAUCUGCUCCGCAUGAAGAAAAUCAUAUCUAAGGAUAGAAUUCAUCAAGCCAUAAAAUCAUAAAUCAUAGAGAAAUGUUCUUCUAUCUGCGCCAAUGUUGAUAAGUGCAGUUCCUCAAAAUAAAAAACAAGAAAAUGGGAGUUCCUCCUAUCUGUUCCGCUCAAUCAGUGACAGUGGAUAGAUUCAGAAAAAUAUCUCGAAUUCACUUACAUAGAAUAGAAACAUACUCGUCACAUUCGAUAGAAUUCAUCGAAAACAUACUCGUCAUAUGCUCGUCACGGAACUAUUUUAGUGACUCGCUCAUUACUUAAAAAAUAUGUCAUUCCUUCUAUUUUGGGUUUCUUGAUUGAUAGAAGUUCCGGCACAUCUCCGAAAAGAUUGGGGGCCCAAAGUGCACCACAGUAGCGCCAUCCAAAGGAGGGCCGUGGAGCCGGUAACCUGGCCAGUUUACGAGAUGUGAUACAGGAUCACCUCUGUCAUUUCUAGAUUCCAAUGAGUAACUCCUAACGAGCGAGUAACGACUAAUGUUACGAGCAUAUUGAGGAAUCUAUUAAUCGUUUCAUUCAUUUAGAAUAUAAAUUGCAAAAACUUGUAUUUAGCUCAUCCAGAAAAAUAUUCAUAGAACAUGUGAAGCAAGGAGACAAUCAUUUCUUUGGCUAGCAGCAACGAUCAAAUUAGAUUCGUCUUUAUGCUUUACACGGAAGUGAGUUGCAUCUAAGUUAAGUGACUCGCUCGAGUUUAUCAUUGAUUAAGGGAACAAGCAAUCCUCGCUAAUCGACUAAUACCUAGCGAACCAACCACCUACUCUACUUUUGUAUCGGGUGCCCAAUAUUUGAAAGGCCACUCUACCUCUAUGAUCAAUCAAUCCUUCCGAGUACGGGUUGUUGUUGCUUUGCUUAUGAAAUAACAUAAUGCCCGCCAUCAGGAGGAAUCGCUGGCUCGAUAUCACUCUGAAAGGUGGAAUCUCAUAGUGAGUUGAGUCAAGUUGUGCCAACCAAUAGCCCUGAACAGUGCCAGUAGCUCCUAUCUCGUUCCAGUAGUCCUAUCUCUAGUGAUGCUUUCCCCCCCCGGGCAGAAAGAAGACAGUCAAAUCAAGGAAAAAGUACUUUAAAGUAUUCGAUUCUAUUAGCACGCUCCUUCAUACCCAACUUGGCCUGCUAAGUAAGAUAUCAUGAUUGGAGGGAUUUCCAGACAUUAGUCAUGCUUACAACCAAUCCGUAUCCCCUUGGUGCCAGCACGGGUUCCUUCAUUGUAGGAAAGAGAGAUGUAGGGAGAUCGCCGUUCCAGGUCCUCCUAUCAAACAAAGAAAGGGAACUACCUCCAACUAUGGUUACUACUGUAAAGGAGCCGGUUCUAGAAAUUGAGAACAUAAGUGAUCCUUUUAUCGGGAUGCGCUAGACGAGAAAUAGCACUAGUAAAGUGAAGCAAGUAGUUGAAAGCGUUGGCGCGAAGCGUUGUUCGAAGAUGCAUUUUCUAUAAUUAUAAUGGAGCAAAAAGCUAGAAAGGGAUCAUCCGAGAGCCAUAUGUGAAUGUAUGGUGCGCUGGGCCAGCGAAGCCAUAGAAACUCUCUCUCAAAGCAGUAAGCGAGCUUCGCCAUCACUCUAUUAGAUAGGCCGUGCGUGGGGUAAGAGAUCUCUCUCAGCCGUUCCGUUCCCUGGGCCUCAAGGUGCGGAGCCUGUAUAUACGUAAUUAGAUCGAUCUAUGAACAAAGGAAAGAGUCAGUCCGGUAAAUCUCAUAUUGGCGUACUAUCUAGAGGGAUUCGAGAUGUGAAAAUAGGAGUGGUUGAAGCAUCGAAAGGUGUCUCCGUUUUUAUUACUUGGUUGGGUGCCAGUCUGUCUGCUUUUUUUUAGUCGAACUCUCGCAUCAAAGGGGUAUGGGCAAUCGCCGCUAUCCGUGGACAUGACUUGGGAAGUCUUUAGUUGCCACAGGUACGGGUCCGUUCGAGGCAGACUGAGAAGCGGUCUCUUAACAGAUAGAUCCGGAGAUUUUGGAGAAACACGGAAUCCUCACUCUACAGCAAUUCAUGGAAAUGGUGCCAGUGCCUGAGUACGGGUCGCGGAAAAAAAGUGCCAGAGUAAUUUCGCGGGAUUUCUAUCGUAUACAUACAGUUGAGGUACUCCCGCCAAUCUCGGGUCCUGCUUCUAGCAACCAUAAUAACUAGCCGUUUAGCACUAUCGAACUAUAUGAGGAUAACUUUUCUCAAAGAAUAGCAAUGAAAUAGCGUAAGAGUGGUGCCUCACAUUGGUUAAGUGGUCCGAAUAGAGAAGUUCUAAGUGUGAAUGGUAUCGCCCUGUUUCUCACUCUGUUUUGUAAAGGUAACUGGUUCCACCAUCGUUUCCGGGCAGUGAUCUCCACUCUGAAUAGUCCUCCCUCAAGUGAAACGUAUGGUAUGAAGAGAGCUAAUAUGGAUUCGCAGAACGGGCUAGCACUAUUCGAACACAUCUCGAUCACCAAGGUCACGUCACAAUUCUAGAUCUGGAUAAGAACGGCAACCCUCUCGUAGAAAGAAACCCUCCAGAAAGGGAUAGGUUCUAUUCUCGCAACAGAAGAGAUCCAAUCAACCAAAGAACAAGUCAAGCCGCAGGGAUGGAUCAGCCUGACCCGGCACCCGAUUCAGAUCUGUAUCUCGGGCUAGCAUGAGCGCAAUCCUCAUCUAUGCUUUUCUCUGUGAUGCGGGGGGCUACCCAUUUAAGGAAAGCUGGGCUGUAAAAGGGCAAUUCAGUUCUUCACAACCGCUUUUAGGAGCAAACGAUCCUUGCCUUAGUAUACAAAAAGAGAGGAAUGAAUCAUCUCGUAUUUUCUUGUGGGAUAACCUUCAUCAGCUUUUAUCUCCAGCUACACAGCCUCUCACUCUUGUCAUUACAUUGCGGCAGCAUUGCAGUUCUGGCACUUGUUCAGCUCUUAGUGCAUUCUCAGAUGCCUCCUCAUCCUGAGCUAGCCGUCACAUUUUCUCGAAAUCAUGGCGACAGGAAGGGCUAAAAGAGACCUCAUCUGGUCAAGAAGCAAGGGCAACAUUUCAAAAUCGAGUACUAAAAUAUAUAGUAUAGCAGUAUCUGAUCCUUGCUUGGGAGGAAUUCCUAAGAAAAGAGAGUUCUCUCAGCCAGUGAGUUCCCUCUGCCAGACAAGCCAGUUCCUUCAGAGAUGGAGAAGUAGCUCGGGCAGUAGAAAGCAGAGAUGGAGAAGUAGCUCGGUCAGUGGAAAGUAUCCGAUUGAUAGUCUCCUACCCUUGGGAAGACUUCCAUAAAUAGAGAUAGAUCCCUCCGAUCCCUAAAGUAGAGGCACUCGUUUGAAGGAAGAGAAAGCCUUGGAACUACUCGUACCAAAGCCAGCCAGUACUUUUCUUGAUCGCUUAUCCUCGAUCUUCCAGAUAGAGUUCUGAGUGCUCAUUUCUUAUAGAAUCGAUUUCUAACCUUAGUUGAUAGACAGAGAAAGCCCUGUGCUGUGUGUGCGUAUCUUCCUACGAACUAGAGCGAAGCGGAGUAGCUUCUUUUUCCGCUUAAAUCAAAGGAUGGAAUGUUGGACUAUCAACCAACUGAGACUGCGCGAACUAGAUAGCCGAACAGCUAAAGCAAGCAGUUACCAGACAAAGGCGAAUGAAAGGAAACACAAACCGCAAGGUCAAGAUGUUUUCUAGCGGCCGUCUAGCGCAUCCGUUUUCUUGCUUGGAUGAGUUCUGGAAGGGAUAGAGGGAUUAGGGAUAUUAUCACUGAAUUGAGAUAUGCAUUCCAUCCAGAAGUUUCAUUUCCGCUUGAAGAAAGAGUGGGAACGUCGGAUUAAGCUUCCAAAAGUGGGCUAAUUGACCAUAUUUAAUUUAGGAAGGAAGGCCUGUGCUCAAACUAGAGGUUUCUCCACUCCAAUCAGGAUAGCAAGAUAUCGAUUAUCCCGAGUGUAUGUGACUUCCUGAAUAUCCAUUCCAUUGUUAGAUGAAUUAGCUGGGCUUUUGUUCGAGUCAAGCAGUGGGUUUGGAUGAAGCGAAUGUUGUUGCUGGCGGUGUGGUAGAGGUAGGAUAUUGUCCUUUAUCCCCGGGAGAUGAUUGCGGAUAGGUUCUUUCUUAUUUAUGCUCCUAAGUUAGCUAUCGGCCUGUUCGCCCACAUAAGCCUGAGACUCAUCCACCUAGGAACCCGGAAAUGCUUAGAGCAAUAGCCAGCGAACUAAUUUCACUUGCUGAGAGGAUGAAAGGUGCCUCAACAAUCCUCAUGUCCAAUAUCUGCUGCCGAGAGAAUCUCUGCGGCUCUAUCUCGACCGUACAGAAGUAAGUUAGUUGCUUUUAUUUUAGCAGAAAAGCGGCACGGCAGGUCGUGCCUGUCAGAUUUGAUUCGAUCAGAUAGGGAAUCCCCACUUUUCCAAGACAACUACAUUUCCAUUUCCGUUACAGCGAGAAAAAAGAUAGUGUGCCACCUUGAGUCAAGGUAUAUUCCUUCUUUUGCUUCUUUUUCAGAACGAAGGGCUCCAUCCUUCUUUCUAAUUCGGCCCCCGGGGCUAUAAUAUGGCGAGGAGACAGCACUUUUUCAGAUAUGAACGAACCUUUACUCGUACCUCUAACAGAAAUGUGGAGGAGUUGAUUUCCGAUCUUUAACCGGAAGACGAGUCAAUAAGUCAACAAAAGGGGUUACUCCCACCUUAGAGCACCACUACAUUUACUUACUACGCGCCUAUCCCUAUCACAUUCAUUUCUUUUACUUUCCUGUCUAUCAUUACAGACCGGGGCUUUACUUUCCUACAAGGAUUCCAGAUACUCUACAUGGUCUCCGCAUUCAUUCCUGUCUGCGAAUCUCUAUUCCAACCUCUACUCUGGGAUUCUCUUCUUGUGUGCUACUCUAGACAUAUUGACAAGCCUGGCACUACUUCUACCUUAGAAACAGGAUGAUGGUACACUUCCCUACAGGUCAGUUCGGCGCUGGAAUGGUUGUUUCCUUUAGGCGCAUCGUAUACUUGACCGGCACAUUCAUCCUAGUAAGUUUAACGGAUUGGAGGUAGUUCCCUUUCUUUGUGCGCGUAUACCUUCCCGGGUAAGUAGUAAGCUUUAGGAAAGACAACCAUUGGUUCAUAGGGAGAUUCGUGUCAUAGGUGCGCCGGUUUCUGACGAGGUUUGUGAUGUCUCCAGGCCAGGUCUAAGCAUAGCAUAGUGGGCUCCUAGCUUUUUUGGGUGUCUCUGUUCCAGAAAGGAUAUUGGAUGGAGCAGGUUCCUUGCUUGAUUGGAAAUCUUGAUAUCUUGCCAGGUUCGGUAAGGUUGACGUUGGUGCUAGAGCAACAGCUCUAUUAUGGAUUCUCGUACUCGUGAUGUGUCUUUAGCAAGACCAGGGCGGCACUUCCAUUGGUUUCAAGUCCAUCCAUUGCGGGUUCCUAUCCUAGGUUUCCUUUUCUAAUAUUUCCAUUCCAGUUUCUUAGCCCGGGUACCUAUCCACCAACACCAUUCGAGUAGAGUUGGGUAGAGCGUGCAUCUAAAAGAGUGGUUUCACCCUUGCCUUGAUUGAUAUCUGACCUACUGCCAUCUAGUAACCUUAAAGGUUGCGAAUCCGGAUAUCAUUCAUUCCUUGGAUCUUAUCAUUCUUUCCGAAGUAGAAGUGAGUCUAUUGACCUUGCUUUCGAAGUUUAUUUCCUUGGUUCUGACGCGUGGUUUUUGAUUCUCCACUUCUAAUGACAUCAUGAUCGCACGACACUGUACUUAUUAAUGACAUAUAAUCCGAGGGAUAGGGAAAGUGCUUUCUACAGUGAUGCUAAUCUCUAUUUCUUAGCUUGGCUUUAUUUUAUUGACAGAGGGGUUUCAGGGCGGGUUGUAUGAAUCAAAGAAAAGGAUUGGUCUCAGGUCAGCUGCUCCCUGGAAAAAGCUGAAAUGAAUCUUGGAAUCUUAAUACUUCCUAGUCUCUUGUUUCGAGGAAAGACAGUUGAAUAGCCCGGGUUUCAGGGAAGGCUUCUUUCUUUCUUCCGUGGAUUUCAUCGUUCUAGUUAUCUCAUUUCUGUGUUCGUCUACAUUUCUUGUGUUGGUUGUUAGGAAAGCUGGUAGACUAGCUUCUUUUUAUUGGAAAGGAUGGAAACAUCAUAGUCUCAAUUGAAAGGAUUCUUCUCGUGAUGUGUCUUUACCGUCGAUUGCACCUAUCCUUAGAAGCAUACGAAUUAGGAUUUCGCCGGGAUAAGUGACAUGAUCGAACCUUACGGAAAGGAAACAGCAACCUAAGAAACAAGUCAAGUCCAGGAUAGAUCUAAGCUUCCCUUGCUUGUUCCGUUUAGGGUUAUUGGUUCUUCUGGAUAUCUCUCUAAGUCACCUUGUGUUUUGGGCUUGGCUUUCAUCUAACCAUCCUUAUAUCCAGGCCAGUGCUUUCAAUCAAACAGGAACAGGACAGGAUGAGAAACAGAUUGGGUGAAGCCCUGUGCUGUGUGCUCGUAGACUUGGUUCUCUUAUGUUGCGAGAAUCGAUUGACUUCCGGCAUCCCUCGAUGGAUGGAGCUAUGGCCAGUGCUAAAGAAGAGGAUGAGGGAAAAGUUCUUCUUAUCCGGAUCUAGAUGAGCGACCCGUAACAGGUAUAAGCUUGACAGGUGCAAUGCGAGGCAGCGCCUAGUUCUGGAUAUCUUGCCGCUUGCAGGACAGGAUAGGUAUAGGGGAUCCGGUAAAGAGACAGACACAGACAACUAUUCUAUUCUCUCUGGUGCCGGUGAGAAUCUAGCCUAAGUAGUCACCAUUGGCGGUUCAUAGCUUUCCGGGUCAGCGUUCUCUUAUCUUGUAUCUUGAUUGCCGGGUCAUCUCUUUUCUUUCUUGCCGGGCAGGGCAAGUAGUCACCAUUGGCGGUUCAUACGUUUCUGGGAUCCCUUUGAGUGUGCAUGCAAGGAUAGGAGCCA